rnacentral:rRNA from 1 species
GAUGAACGCUGGCGGCGUGCCUAAUACAUGCAAGUCGAGCGAACAGAUAAGGAGCUUGCUCCUUUGACGUUAGCGGCGGACGGGUGAGUAACACGUGGAUAACCUACCUAUAAGACUGGGAUAACUUCGGGAAACCGGAGCUAAUACCGGAUAACAUAUUGAACCGCAUGGUUCAAUAGUGAAAGGCGGCUUUGCUGUCACUUAUAGAUGGAUCCGCGCCGUAUUAGCUAGUUGGUAAGGUAACGGCUUACCAAGGCAACGAUACGUAGCCGACCUGAGAGGGUGAUCGGCCACACUGGAACUGAGACACGGUCCAGACUCCUACGGGAGGCAGCAGUAGGGAAUCUUCCGCAAUGGGCGAAAGCCUGACGGAGCAACGCCGCGUGAGUGAUGAAGGUCUUCGGAUCGUAAAACUCUGUUAUCAGGGAAGAACAAAUGUGUAAGUAACUGUGCACAUCUUGACGGUACCUGAUCAGAAAGCCACGGCUAACUACGUGCCAGCAGCCGCGGUAAUACGUAGGUGGCAAGCGUUAUCCGGAAUUAUUGGGCGUAAAGCGCGCGUAGGCGGUUUUUUAAGUCUGAUGUGAAAGCCCACGGCUCAACCGUGGAGGGUCAUUGGAAACUGGAAAACUUGAGUGCAGAAGAGGGAAAGUGGAAUUCCAUGUGUAGCGGUGAAAUGCGCAGAGAUAUGGAGGAACACCAGUGGCGAGGGCGACUUUCUGGUCUGUAACUGACGCUGAUGUGCGAAAGCGUGGGGAUCAAACAGGAUUAGAUACCCUGGUAGUCCACGCCGUAAACGAUGAGUGCUAAGUGUUAGGGGGUUUCCCGCUCUUUAGUGCUGCAGCUAACGCAUUAAGCACUCCCCCCUGGGGAGUACGACCGCAGGUUGAAACUCAAAGGAAUUGACGGGGACCCGCACAAGCGGUGGAGCAUGUGGUUUAAUUCGAAGCAACGCGAAGAACCUUACCAAAUCUUGACAUCCUUUGACCACUCUAGAGAUAGAGUUUUCCCCUUCGGGGGACAAAGUGACAGGUGGUGCAUGGUUGUCGUCAGCUCGUGUCGUGAGAUGUUGGGUUAAGUCCCGCAACGAGCGCAACCCUUAAGCUUAGUUGCCAUCAUUAAGUUGGGCACUCUAAGUUGACUGCCGGUGACAAACCGGAGGAAGGUGGGGAUGACGUCAAAUCAUCAUGCCCCUUAUGAUUUGGGCUACACACGUGCUACAAUGGACAAUACAAAGGGCAGCUAAACCGCGAGGUCAAGCAAAUCCCAUAAAGUUGUUCUCAGUUCGGAUUGUAGUCUGCAACUCGACUACAUGAAGCUGGAAUCGCUAGUAAUCGUAGAUCAGCAUGCUACGGUGAAUACGUUCCCGGGUCU